rnacentral:rRNA from 1 species
GCAUAUCAAUAAGCGGAGGAAAAGAAAAUAACAAUGAUUCCCCUAGUAACGGCGAGUGAAGAGGGGUUAGCUCAAAUUUAAAAUCUGCUGGGUUUACCUAUCAGAGUUGUAAUUUGAAGGGGCGUUUUCCGCGUCAUUGUUGGUCCAAAUCCUUUGGGAUAAGGUAUCAUGGAGGGUGAGAAUCCCGUCCGGCCGACAUCAUGAUGUUUUACGAUACGCUUUCAAAGAGUCGAGUUGUUUGGGAUUGCAGCUCAAAAUGGGAGGUAAAUUUCUCCUAAGGCUAAAUAUUGGCGAGAGACCGAUAGCGAACAAGUACCGUGAGGGAAAGAUGAAAAGAACUUUGAAAAGAGAGUUAAAAAGUACGUGAAAUUGUUGAAAGGGAAACGAUUGAAGUCAGUCGUACCGACGAGAAAUCAGCUUUUCGAGUGUGCAUUUGUGGGCGUAUGAGAUCUUCAUUGUUUGCAAUAUGUAUGUUUCUUUGGUGUACUUUUUCGUAUGGUAGGUCAAUGUCGGUUUUGAUCGCCAUAAAAUGAUCGGAGGAAUGUAGCUUCGGCCUCGGUUGAAGUGUUAUAGCCUUUGGUAAAUGUGGUGAUUAGGACCGAGGAUUGCAACGAAUACCUUUUAGGCUAUCCGUCUGACCUCUGAAAGUUACUUGGGUGCCGAAAGCUUGCUUACGGUCAUUUAAGUUGACGGUCAAUAGGUUAGAACGUGAUUACAUUCGUUAAGGACGUUGACGUAAUGGCUUUAAACGAC